UCGGGGAGCCCGGCGGCUCUGUGGUGUUCAAGCAGGAACCUCAUGCUACCGGCAGCAUGCGGCGCUUGCUUGAACAUCCCAGAGCCACCGGCGUGCCAAA
rfam:Triticum urartu cultivar G1812 contig642202, whole genome shotgun sequence.